rnacentral:rRNA from 1 species
CCUACGGGAGGCAGCAGUGGGGAAUAUUGGACAAUGGGCGAAAGCCUGAUCCAGCAAUGCCGCGUGAGUGAUGAAGGCCUUAGGGUCGUAAAGCUCUUUUACCAGGGAUGAUAAUGACAGUACCUGGAGAAUAAGCUCCGGCUAACUCCGUGCCAGCAGCCGCGGUAAUACGGAGGGAGCUAGCGUUGUUCGGAAUUACUGGGCGUAAAGCGUGCGUAGGCGGUUAUUCAAGUCAGAGGUGAAAGCCCGGGGCUCAACCCCGGAACGGCCUUUGAAACUAGAUAACUAGAAUCUUGGAGAGGUCAGUGGAAUUCCGAGUGUAGAGGUGAAAUUCGUAGAUAUUCGGAAGAACACCAGUGGCGAAGGCGACUGACUGGACAAGUAUUGACGCUGAGGUACGAAAAGCGUGGGGAGCAAACAGGAUUAGAUACCCUGGUAGUCCACGCCGUAAACGAUGAUAACUAGCUGUCCGGACACUUGGUGUUUGGGUGGCGCAGCUAACGCAUUAAGUUAUCCGCCUGGGGAGUACGGUCGCAAGAUUAAAAACCUCAAAAUGAAGUAGUAACGGUCGUGUUAAACGUUAGUCGAAGGACGACACGAGGGAGGAGG